rnacentral:tRNA from 1 species
UCCAAUGUGGUCUAGUGGUUAGGAUUCCUGGCUUUGCCAGGCGGCCGGGUUCGAUUCCCGGCAUUGGAA